rnacentral:rRNA from 1 species
GACGAACGCUGGCGGCGUGCUUAACACAUGCAAGUCGAACGGAAAGGCCCCUUUGGGGGUACUCGAGUGGCGAACGGGUGAGUAACACGUGAGUAACCUGCCCUUGACUUAGGGAUAACUUCAGGAAACUGGGGCUAAUACCGGAUAGGAAUCCUUGCUGCAUGGUGGGGGUUGGAAAGCUUCGGCGGUUUUGGAUGGACUCGCGGCUUAUCAGCUUGUUGGUGGGGUAGUGGCUUACCAAGGCUUUGACGGGUAGCCGGCCUGAGAGGGCGACCGGCCACAUUGGGACUGAGAUACGGCCCAGACUCCUACGGGAGGCAGCAGUGGGGAAGAUUGCACAAUGGGCGGAAGCCUGAUGCAGCAACGCCGCGUGCGGGAGGACGGCCUUCGGGUUGUAAACCGCUUUCAGCAGGGGCGAAGCUUGUGGUGACGGUACCUGCAGAAGAAGCACCGGCUAACUACGUG